ensembl:snoRNA
AUCCUUUUGUAGUUCAUAAGCGUGAUGAUUGGGUUGUCAUGCGACUGCGUGAGGUGUGCCACCCAUAAACCUUGUUACGACAUCGGCACAUUACCCGUCUGACA